rnacentral:rRNA from 1 species
CACGUAGGGGACGAGCGUUGUCCGGAUUCAUUGGGCGUAAAGCGCGCGUAGGCGGCUCGGAAAGUCGGUCGUGAAAUGCCGGGGCUCAACCCCGGGACUGCGUCCGAUACUCCCGAGCUGGAGGCAGGUAGGGGAGAUCGGAAUUCCUGGUGUAACGGUGAAAUGCGCAGAUAUCAGGAGGAACACCGGUGGCGAAGGCGGGUCUCUGGGCCGAUACUGACGCUGAGGAGCGAAAGCGUGGGGAGCAAACAGG